rnacentral:rRNA from 1 species
UAGGGAAUCUUCGGCAAUGGACGGAAGUCUGACCGAGCAACGCCGCGUGAGUGAAGAAGGUUUUCGGAUCGUAAAGCUCUGUUGUAAGAGAAGAACGAGUGUGAGAGUGGAAAGUUCACACUGUGGCGGUAUCUUACCAGAAAGGGACGGCUAACUACGUGCCAGCAGCCGCGGUAAUACGUAGGUCCCGAGCGUUGUCCGGAUUUAUUGGGCGUAAAGCGAGCGCAGGCGGUUAGAUAAGUCUGAAGUUAAAGGCUGUGGCUUAACCAUAGUACGCUUUGGAAACUGUUUAACUUGAGUGCAAGAGGGGAGAGU